GGCGAACGGGUGCUUAACACGUGGGCAAUCUGCCGAGAAGUGGGGGAUAGCUCGCCGAAAGGCGAAUUAAUACCGCAUGUGAUCAGAGUGGACAUCCAUUCAAAAUCAAAGUCGGGGCAACCUGACGCUUCUUGAGGAGCCCGCGGCCUAUCAGCUAGUUGGUGAGGUAACGGCCCACCAAGGCUUUGACGGGUAGCUGGUCUGAGAGGACGACCAGCCACACUGGGACUGAGACACGGCCCAGACACCUACGGGUGGCAGCAGUCGAGAAUUUUUCUCAAUGGGGGAAACCCUGAAGGAGCGACGCCGCGUGGAGGAUGAAGGUCUUCGGGUUGUAAACUCCUGUCAUUUGGGAACAAUGCGUAAAUAUUAACUGUAUUUGCGUUGAUAGUACCAGAAGAGGAAGAGACGGCUAACUCUGUGCCAGCCGCCGCGG
rnacentral:rRNA from 1 species